rnacentral:lncRNA from 1 species
CUGAGAAACGAUCUGUCUGCACGGACCCUAACAGCAACCGCUCGGCCCGGCUCCGUGCAGCAGCAGCAGGGCGCUCCAUGCCACCCGCUCGGAUCGUGCGUGGGGCGGGAAGUCGGGGAACCGCACAGCGCGGGGAGGAGGAAGGGAACAGCCGCCGGCGGUCGCGGGCGCCACAUCCGUGUCCCGCACUGCGCGGUGACGGGGCGGGCGGGACGUGACGGCUGGAACGGUCACCGCCGCUCGCACCGUCUCGCGCCCAGCUGCGCAGCUCGCUGCCCGGCCGCCCCUUCCCACUCCGUGCCGGCUCCGUCGCGCCGACGGUCCGCGGAGGCGGCGCGAGACCAAGCCGGCAGGCCUCGUGGCGCGGGCAGCCCCGCCCCGUCGGGGGAGUCGCGGCGAGGGCGGGGCGAGGCCUUCCCGUGGCGGGCGGCAGGGGGCGCAGGCGGGCGGGGUGGGGGCGGCGCUCGCCCGAGUCGGGGCGCUGGGCGGGCUGCCAGCCGGAGCGGCGGCGGGAGCGGCUGCGGCUCCGGCCCCGGGAAGACGCGAGAGCGCCGGGCAGGUACGGAGGUGCCGCGGGCGGGGUGUCCUGGGUGGCUCCGUCCUGCCGCCGCCGCCGAGGUGCGGUCCGUGUCUUGCCGUCCCGGCCGCGCAGGUGGGACGGCGCAACGGAGCGCCGCCCGGGAGCGCUCGGGCUGCUCCCCGACACGACCCGGCUGUGGCUGCGCCGCCGCUGGCCCGCGCCCCCCGCCCGGGAUAAUCGGCGGCCGCGGAGGGCGGGAGCGGGGGAGGGAUGGGGCGUCACCGGAGCCGCUGCCGGUGGCGCGGCUGCCCCGCGCUCGGCCGGGCUGUUCCCGGGGUGAGGGCCGGGAAGAGUCCGUCCGUCCGUCCCGCCGGAGCCGCUGCCGCACGCGGGCGGUGAGCCCGGCACGGGCUGCGCUCCCCGGGCGGGGGCUCUGCCGGCAGCGCGCUGCCCCGGGGCGGUCGGGCCGCCUCCGAUGGGCCACGGCCGCUGAACUUUACUUCCGAGCCGCGCUCCGCAGGAGGCGCACGGGGCUCAGCGCGCGGCCGGAGCGGCGUAGGCUUAACCUGGGCGCUUAA